rnacentral:rRNA from 1 species
GACGGAGGAUGCAAGCGUUAUCCGGAAUGCUUGGGCGUAAAGCGUUCGCAGGUGGCUGUUCAAGUCUGCUGUCAAAGACCGGGGCUUAACCCUAGAAAGGCAGUGGAAACUGGACGGCUGGAGUGCAGUAUGGGUAGAGGGAAUUCCCAGUGUAGAGGUGAAAUGCGUAGAGAUUGGGUAGAACACCGGUGGCGAAAGCGCUCUGCUGGACUGCAUCUGACAAUGAGGGACGAAAGCUAGGGGAGCGAAAGGG